AACAAAAACACGACAGGAAUUGGAAUGAGAUGACCGCCACUGAGCCGAAAAGACCAUCACAAUGGUUGACGUUUGCAUGACGAGGACUGAUGAUCACCGAAAUUCCCUUGAUGCAUUUAGCUCUGACGCAACACAUUCAGGCAUCUUCAGUCAUGAGAUUUUACGUUCCACUUCCGUGUGAGUUGGAAUUUGAAAACAAUUUGAAAAAUGUAGAGUGUAUACCCAUCUUCUCGUCAACCAAACCAAGUACAAACAAGUUUUUCUCCUUCUGACUUGAAAGGAUUUGGGUGUGCUGUACUCCGUUAGACUGAAUGUCUGCUGGUCCGUGCGGGUUGCCGCCGAUGGGUCAAACAGCUUUUCACAGGGAAACUCAGUCAAGCUGACAGGUGGAAAAGAUAAUUACAGCUCGAGGGAAUUGUUCCCUGACUCUUCGAUGCAUUUGAGGCCACAAAAGGGAGAGGCACUGUAUCAAAAUGGCAGGUUCGGUGGAGACCGCCCCUGCUGCGUGCUAUCGCGACCUCAAGUGCGUUGAAUGGACUCGCAUGUGACAAGGAGCGCCAUAUUGUUUCACUUGAUGAAUCGUGCAUUAAACUGUAUUUGCUCCACUGCGGCCUAAGACAAUAUCUUCGAUGUUGUGUGGCGGCUCUGAGACUCUGUGCCUGCCAGUGAGCACAAAAACACACAGACACACUCGCUGCCCAGUCGAGCCGGUCUGACUUGAUGUCCAAGCAUCUGUGUCAAUGACAUAAGAGCAUGGGUUUACUUUCGUUAUUACUCAAGCGAAAGUGCUUGACGUUCACUUGAGUUGCAUUGUGAACGGUCUCUAACUUUUGUGGGAGGAGAAUACACAAGCAGCUGGUGAAAUACUUUGAGAAAAGAUUUCUGUAAUAAAUAAAAACACCUUCAUUUGAGACCGGUGAUCUCAUAAUACGUUUUAUGGAUAAACAGAAACAUUGCAAACAACCGUUUAUCUUGCUGGGGGUGUUUACAACUCAAAGGCACAAUUACCAGAACAAGUCAUCCUACUUCCUGUAAUCUUCGAGGAAAAACUGGACUCUUAACUGGCAGCGUCGAAUUGUAAGCAAACACACGAAAUGCAGCGUGUAUUUCCUGAAUCCAACGAGGGCUCAUUUUGCUAUCUUUGUAUACCUAAAAUAAAGUGGACCAAAACAAGAUAUCAUCUGCUUGCACAUGCGCUGUGCGCACCGACCACCGUAGACAAACAAGUUCUAAGCUUCAAACAUAACUCGAUUACUUGUAGAGCAUGUUGUGAUUUGUGGGCCGUAAACAGUUCUCAGUCAAGUCCUCGCCACUCUGGCCUGUGUCACCGGAGGCUGUAAUGCUUAAACGCUGAGCGAGAAGGAAAUCGAGAGCGUGUUAAUGGGAUAAGGAAAGGUGAUGAAUUGAUGACCUCGGGCUGUGAGUCCACAGGGGACACAAAAGACCCUGGGGGGCUGUUUCCUCUAAACAAACCUGAAAAAGCAAUCCUAACAGUGUCCAUUCUAUAUGUAAAUGUAGCACUUGUUGAAAAACAACAAAGACAUGCUAAUUGUUCCAGUAAUUCUUAUUUGCGAUGAACAGAACUCCAUCCACUUGGGUGAACAGCUUGCAUUAGAAGACAACAAUGCGAACUCCCCGGGGCUUUAUAAGUCAGGCACGCAGAUCAUUUCACCGAGGUUAGUGGGUGCAGUCGAAAUAAACCCCGAAGCCAGGAAAAUGUGAAUCCAUUUUGAAACCAGUGGUCCUUAAGAAGCCCAGUCGGCCAAGCUUCCAUUCUCAUGCCAGGAAAAGCUUGUGCUGUUCAUGCAGAAGCUCUGGGGAGCAAAUGUCAUUCUAGUGCCGGGCAAUUUAGCCCAAGAGACCACAUCACAUGAAUUCAUAAAAAUGAAUCUACUUCAAGUGAAUUGUAACGAUACAGCGCAGAUGGCAAUUUCCUGCAUAAAAGCGGACCCCUCAUCGAAGUCACACAAGAGCAUUCACAGAUUUCGGAACUCGGUUCAUACACAAGGCGACCCAACAUUAUUAGGUCCAUUUGGGAGAAAAUGUCCGACUUUUAAGUGUGCCUUAUGGUCGUGAAAAUACAGUAGUUGGCAACAAAACAUUUACUACUGGACCACUGGACUGGACUACUGAAGCAAUGCUGGUCCAACAUCUUGAAAUUGGUCGAAAUGUGCAUGUCCUCGUGUGUGUCUCCUUCCUUUUAUGGAAAAGGACAGAGGGGAAAAACACGAAGCAAUACCAGUUCACCCCACCCUGGUUUGUACCAAUGAGGAACGGAAUGAGUCACAAGUGGAACACAAAAUGUUCUCUCACAAGUCUGAUGUCAUCUUGAUGAACAAGAGGAUGUUAAUUCAAUUUAAAAAAAUGACAGAAAAGCUCAAUAAGAGAGCAGAUGUGACUGGCUGUUAUCGUAAUUUCAUGAGAACACACGUUUCAGGUGCUGGAUUUUCACCGAUUGCCUCUGAAGAUGACAGAGCAUUGUGAAAAUUAUGUGGGAGGGGGAAAAAAAAAUUUGCUUUGGGAAAUACUUCCAACUUUUAUACCAAACAAUUUUUUUGUAUUUGCGGCUGUGUACUUGUUCGUCUUAACAGCACGUUCGGCACAGCUCGUGACAUCGUCCUUAGUAUUAUUGUGGAGACAAAGAAAGGGAGUCGUAGCCUAGUAAGUGUAUCACCUAACAAUUUACUAAACGGUUCUCAAAACGACGCAAAGCUCGGAAGAAAAAAAAAGAUGAAUAUGGAUGUAAAUGGCCCCUGCCGUGAGCCUCAACGGGAUAAGCGUUACAAAAUAUGGGCGGCAGCCGCGUUUUCAAACAGUCAUUGUACUUGUGCGCACGCCCUUUCGCAUAAAUGAUGACAGCUGACCAGCCAGUUUCAUGGCCAAACGGUUUGGAUAACCGUGGAAUGAGGAACAAAGGACGGCCCGACCGAGCAAACACAUGAGGACGAUCCCCGAGCCUAACAUCUUUUGGCCUUAGGGCAUCGCAGGGGACAUCGAGGCUGGGGCGUUAAAAUCCACCGAUUUAUUCUUAAGUGCCUGCCUGGCUGAGAAUAUCUCCCUUUCCCCAUCUGUUACCAAUGGCACCAGCCUACGCAGAGCUGGAGGGGGGUCUGGAUUGGGGAAAACACAGUGGAGGGGGCGGGGGGGGUUAAAACAGUGCCCCCCCCCCAAGGCAAAUUAAAAUUCUAAUUAUCCUCUAUUACAAGCUGUGUGCGCUCCAAAGCAGAUCAGAUACUGAUGACUUCUGCAGCCAGCUGUUUAGACGCUCGAUUGAACAAUAGGCCAUAAAUGUGUGCGUUCGGAAUCAGGGGAAUUUAUGCGUCGGAUGGAUUAAGAUUAAUACGAAGGGAUGAUGAUGCUCUCUUUGGCUUUGUAAAUAUGUUUUUUUUUUUUAUAUUCCAUUAAUGGCCUUUUUCCAGAGCGGGGAUUGUUUUCGAUGAAAUUUCGGUCAUGUUUUGGAUCAAGCUAUUUUCGUUUUAAUUCCAGGUUUGCUAGUUUAUCCUACUAAUCCAAUGGAUUGCUAGCCAAGAUGUCGGAAUUAGAGUGCUGCACAGUACACAAAUAAUAAGAUCCCUGGGUUGAAGAAAACAAAAUGCACAGAAAAAGCCUUUAUGAGCCACACAACUUUCACCUGUAUCGAAAAAAAAAAGGACAUUCCCGUGAAACGGCUGUGGUUUCCCAAAGAACCAAAUCUGCCCUUGUAGGGGUUGCAAGCGCACACAUUACAUUCGCCCAGGGAGGAGAAGGAAGUCUCUAAACAGACAGCAACAUCCCCCUACUCCCCACCCAUCCACCCUGUGGUGUUGCAACGCAUUGAGGCGAGCCACGUGUGCUGCUAUUACAUCCCAUUGUUCUUGCCGCACGGAGGGACGGGGCGUAGCGGUGCUCCCAAAAGAACAACAGACACUUUUUGCAUUUGAAGGGCUGCGUGUGCAUGCGAGGUCAAAGCGGUUGAGGGCAGGGGAGGGGAGGAGUGCGCUAUUAUGUGACCCCACUUUGCAAAUGAAACACACACACACACACACACACACACACACACACACACACACACAGACCUGAAGAACAGAUGGGAUAAAGGCAAACAGUGAAUCCCCCUAUGCUCUUCUAUCAUCCUCGGCACUGAGGACAGCUGGGAGGCAGAAUUCCUUCCUCUCAGUUUACAGGGGGAAAACAAAGGAGAGUGUCGGGGAACACCCCCCACUCCGCAUCCCCCUCCUUUGCACAUGUGCAUGUGUUGAGCACACCCCCACGCUUGCCCCUCCCAGACUGUCGGUGGAACUGUGACAACUGUGAGCUGGCCGCAUUUCAGAAGGCAGACUGUUAGCCAGCAAAGGGUUGAGGACAUUGGCUCAAAGUGAGAGGCCAGCGAGACUCUCCGAGUCUGGCGCCUUGACCAUCCAAGUCAAAUAACCUCUGCAAAUUGGAAACCUUUCGAAUUUUUUCUUUUUAUGUGUAAAUGUAGUGACCAAAAUCAAUAGUACAGCACAUUCAGGGUUCUUAAAUGGAUGAGUCAUUGUGAAGCUGUUAAUUUCCCUUCAAUUUACGGAGGAAUAAACAGCACAUAAAUAUCCUGCACCAAAGAGGGAGAGACCAUUUACAUCAAAAACUCCACAUCAUCUCUGCGCAAGGGCACGGAUGUUAGAUUUGCAGUGCUGACUGACUGAUCGCCUUCGAAAGCGCAACUGCCGACAAGGGGGUGAAGAAAUAGCAGCGACAUCAAACCGUGUUUGUGAAACAUGAGGCCGCGCUACACACGGAGCAGAGUGGUGUAUACUUUCACUUUAGUAUUCACAGCAUCAGCUGUGCAACAACUGAUACGGACGGUUACCACUUUGA